UACGGAGGGUGCAAGCGUUAUCCGGAUUCACUGGGUUUAAAGGGUGCGUAGGUGGGUUGGUAAGUCAGUGGUGAAAUCCCCGAGCUUAACUUGGGAACUGCCAUUGAUACUAUCAGUCUUGAAUAUCGUUGAGGCAGGCGGAAUAUAUCAUGUAGCGGUGAAAUGCAUAGAGAUGAUAUAGAACACCAAUUGCGAAGGCAGCUUGCUAAACGAUCAUUGACGCUGAGGCACGAAAGCGUGGGGAUCAAACAGG
rnacentral:rRNA from 1 species